CCACUUGGAACAUUAAGUUCUUCCAUGCUUCAAUCCUUUGACUUACUUUCUUGCCAGUGAUACAAAAUGCCCACACUUUAAAAGAGGAGAAAGUUCUUUUUUUGUUUGUUUUACAGUUCAGAAGUUUAAGUCCAUGUUCAGCAGACUUAACUACAGAAACGGCACAGUAGAAGGGUCUGGGCAGAGAAAAGUUGCUUCCCUCCUGGGAGCCAGGAAGCAGAGAGCGGGAAGGAGCUGGGCGGGGAGAUCCUAACAGUGGGCCGCAGCGCCUGAGGCUCCAUUCCUCUUCCCAAAGCCCUGCCUGAGAGCACAGGAGGCUGUAGGGGGACAUUGAGAUAUAAACAAUAAUGUCCUGUUCUUUUCCCAACGUUUCCUUCUUCCAAAGAAGUAGACAAAAAGUAAAACAAACAAAAACCCAAAGCUCCACAGAUUUUUUAAAAAAUAGUUUUGAUGUCCUAAUGAAUAACCUGUUUCUUCUCUCCAAGAAAUAAUACAUCUGACAUUUUCCCACAUCCGUAUGGGAUAUGGAUGAUCACACUGUUGUCCUCAUCGUUAUCUUCCAUGCCUUCACUGUUUCCCUGUUGUGUUUAUGAGCAUAUGGACUUAUCUGUUGAUGGACCACUAGCUGUUGUUUACAAUUUGCUUCAGUGAAGGGAAGAGUGACCCAGUCUCAUGGAAGCAAUCCUUGGACCAUGGAACAGGAGUGGGCUCUUGCUGAAUAUUUAGUGCAGUGACUCUCAAACUUUUUGAAGCACAGCACACAGUAGAAAAUACUUUUUACAUUAGAUAAGACUGAUGUUCUUAUAAGAAAACUACCCCUUCUAUGUUCACACAAAGAAAAAGCCAUUGAAGACACAAAAAUAAAUGCCAGGACGUCUACAUGCCAGGAGGCUAAAUCAAUCCUGAC
ensembl:lncRNA